rnacentral:misc_RNA from 1 species
GUGAAUCAUCGAAUUUUUGAACGCAAAUUGCGCCUUUUUCGGAAGGCAUGUCUGUUUGAGGGCACCAUUUAACAAAUAAUGUGCAGCGUUGUGUGUAUAUAUGACGUGCACACGUUGAUGAGCUUUCCAAGAAUUUUAAAUUUUUGGUGGCGCAUAAUGAACAACGUGAAGCUUUUUUUUCAGUUCGAGUGUAGUAAAAUCUUUGCUUGGGUUGUGAAAAGCAAGUAGCGCACUGGGUGUGGCAGUUUUCCCUGAUGCCACUCUUUCUCGCGAAAGAAUGUUAUAAUCUUCAGGGCCUCAA